rnacentral:rRNA from 1 species
AGAGUUUGAUCAUGGCUCAGAUUGAACGCUGGCGGCAUGCCUUACACAUGCAAGUCGAACGGCAGCACGGGAGCUUGCUCCUGGUGGCGAGUGGCGAACGGGUGAGUAAUAUAUCGGAACGUACCCUAGAGUGGGGGAUAACGCAGCGAAAGUUGCGCUAAUACCGCAUACGAUCUACGGAUGAAAGUGGGGGAUCGCAAGACCUCAUGCUCAUGGAGCGGCCGAUAUCUGAUUAGCUAGUUGGUAGGGUAAAAGCCUACCAAGGCUUCGAUCAGUAGCUGGUCUGAGAGGACGACCAGCCACACUGGAACUGAGACACGGUCCAGACUCCUACGGGAGGCAGCAGUGGGGAAUUUUGGACAAUGGGCGCAAGCCUGAUCCAGCAAUGCCGCGUGAGUGAAGAAGGCCUUCGGGUUGUAAAGCUCUUUUGUCAGGGAAGAAACGGUGGACUCUAAUACAGAUCACUAAUGACGGUACCUGAAGAAUAAGCACCGGCUAACUACGUGCCAGCAGCCGCGGUAAUACGUAGGGUGCAAGCGUUAAUCGGAAUUACUGGGCGUAAAGCGUGCGCAGGCGGUUGUGCAAGACAGAUGUGAAAUCCCCGGGCUCAACCUGGGAAUUGCAUUUGUGACUGCACGGCUAGAGUGUGUCAGAGGGGGGUAGAAUUCCACGUGUAGCAGUGAAAUGCGUAGAGGUGGAGGAAUACCGAUGGCGAAGGCAGCCCCCUGGGAUAACACUGACGCUCAUGCACGAACGCGUGGGGAGCAAACAGGAUUAGAUACCCUGGUAGUCCACGCCCUAAACGAUGUCUACUAGUUGUUGGGUCUUAAUUGACUUAGUAACGCAGCUAACGCGUGAAGUAGACCGCCUGGGGAGUACGGUCGCAAGGUUAAAACUCAAAGGAAUUGACGGGGACCCGCACAAGCGGUGGAUGAUGUGGAUUAAUUCGAUGCAACGCGAAAAACCUUACCUACCCUUGACAUGUACGGAAUCCCUGAGAGAUUAGGGAGUGCUCGAAAGAGAGCCGUAACACAGGUGCUGCAUGGCUGUCGUCAGCUCGUGUCGUGAGAUGUUGGGUUAAGUCCCGCAACGAGCGCAACCCUUGUCAUUAGUUGCUACGAAAGGGCACUCUAAUGAGACUGCCGGUGACAAACCGGAGGAAGGUGGGGAUGACGUCAAGUCCUCAUGGCCCUUAUGGGUAGGGCUUCACACGUCAUACAAUGGUACAUACAGAGGGCCGCCAACCCGCGAGGGGGAGCUAAUCCCAGAAAGUGUAUCGUAGUCCGGAUUGUAGUCUGCAACUCGACUACAUGAAGUUGGAAUCGCUAGUAAUCGCGGAUCAGCAUGUCGCGGUGAAUACGUUCCCGGGUCUUGUACACACCGCCCGUCACACCAUGGGAGCGGGUUUCACCAGAAGUAGGUAGCCUAACCGUAAGGAGGGCGCUUACCACGGUGGGAUUCGUGACUGGGGUGAAGUCGUAACAAGGUA